rnacentral:rRNA from 1 species
UACGUAGGGUGCAAGCGUUGUCCGGAAUUAUUGGGCGUAAAGAGCUCGUAGGCGGUCUGUCACGUCGGCUGUGAAAUCCCGAGGCUCAACCUCGGGUCUGCAGUCGAUACGGGCAAACUAGAGUAUUGCAGGGGAGACUGGAAUUCCUGGUGUAGCGGUGAAAUGCGCAGAUAUCAGGAGGAACACCGGUGGCGAAGGCGGGUCUCUGGGCAAUAACUGACGCUGAGGAGCGAAAGCGUGGGGGAGCGGACAGG